GACGAACGCUGGCGGCGUGCCUAAUACAUGCAAGUAGGACGCAGUUGCGAACGGGUGAGUAACGCGUAGGUAACUGCCUAUUAGAGGGGGAUAACUAUUGGAAACGAUAGCUAAUACCGCAUACUAGUAGAUGGACCUGCGUUGUAUUAGCUAGUAGGUGAGGUAACGGCUUACCUAGGCGACGAUCCCUAGCUGGUCUGAGAGGAUGAGCGGCAACACUGGGACUGAGACACGGCCCAGACUCCUACGGGAGGCAGCAGUAGGGAAUCUUCGGCAAUGGGGGGAACCCUGACCGAGCAACGCCGCGUGAGUGAAGAAGGUUUUCGGAUCGUAAAGCUCUGUUGUUAAGGAAGCGGUACUUAACCAGAAAGGGACGGCUAACUACGUGCCAGCAGCCGCGGUAAUUC
rnacentral:rRNA from 1 species